AUAGUUUUAGCUUCAAGUGCCUACAGCCUGGAACAUUUGGCUAUGUCAGUAUUUGUAAUCUCAACAUGUCUGGGAAUAUCCUCCUGCACUGAGACCAAAUGACCCAGAAUAGCCCAUGUCCAACUGCCGGACUUGUUCGAUCUCCAAUAAAGGAUGCCUGCUUCCAAACUGCCUGCAGAGAAUAUUCACUAUUUGCAAUGAAUGUUGUGAAACUCCAGCAACUACAGCUUCACUGUUUGCAUGGGCCAGCCAGCAUGAAUUUCACUGAGGCCAUUGAAGUGUUCUUAAGACAAAAGUCAGAAAUGGAGAUGCUUGGCAGAGAGUGAAACAAAGUACUGCCUCUGUCCUGCUUUUGGUAACUGUUGGUGGCUUUCAAGUCCAAAUAUCUGUAGAGUUAUCUGUUGUUAGCUCAAAGAAAUAAAGAAAAAUGGAAAGUGAAUUUUGAUAAACAUGUCUCUUUACCCUUGGAAUCAACAAAAAUGAGAGCUUGAAGAUCACCACGUAGCGCUAGCAGUCUGUGUUGGAUCACACAAACUGGCGAGUCUCACCUUCUUCUUCUAUGAUGUUCCUUCCUAAUCCUGCCCUGCAAUUCAUUUUGCAUUGCCUGUCGAGUUGCAAUGGAAUUCCCAUGAUGUUUUCACUGACUGCCUGGGCAGCAUCCAUCAGAGAAAUGGAGCAAGGAUAUGUUUCUACAGAAUAAAGCGGUCUGAAAUGCCCUGCUGUCACAGCACAAAACCAAGAGCACCUCUUCAUCUUCCCUCCGGCCAACGAAAGGGGACAGGAUUUUCAGUGAAACCCAGAUGUUGCUUCUCUUCCAAAGAAACUAACCUAUGCUUUUGAAGAAAAGAUGACUACCUGGUUGAAGAAAAGGAGUAAUGGAGAACACAUUCUUCAAGAAAUCUUCCAGACUUCUCCCAGGUUUAAUUGGAGGUGCUUUGUAAACCUUUGAUGGUUAAGGACACCAGAUUUUGGAGUGAAAUGCUGGUAUCCCAGAAGCUUGAAAGCACAAAAGAAACAGCUUGUGGAAAAUCUGUGAAGUCCAUCUAUUUCUACAAUAGGAUUAUUCAUCACCACAUGUUUUCCCCAUCUGGAAGUAAAGGGACAAAAUGCUGAAACCACCACCGUCUCACUUGCAAAUUGCUCCACAGUCUAACCAGUCAUGCUAUUGAGAAGAUAUGCCUGCAGUUCAACCCAAAUUGUCUGUAAUCAUGUUGCUUCCUUUCCCUUGUUAUCCUGAGUAGUUCCUCCCCACCCAUAUGUUUAACCUCUCUGAAAUAUUUGUGGAUGGCAAUCAGAUCCCUCUGAGUCACUGCUUAGCUAAGCUGUAUGCAUUUUCAGCAUCCUUCUUUUCUUGUGUAAAUCUUCUCAGAUAUUUAACCAUUUUUCUCCACUUUCCUGUGAAAUCCUCAGCAUUCACUGAAGAUGUUAGAAUGAUUGCCCCUGGCUGAACAUGGGAACGGAACAUGAGCCUUACACAGAUGGUCCCCUUAGUGGCCUGGGUUCAAGUGCAGUGGGUUGAGGUGCUCAAACACUCCCUUACCACGCUUGGAACUCCUGCUCUAUAAAUCAGGGCUAUACAGUCUGGGGAGUACUGGAACUGUACAGCUGGGGGAAAGUCCCAGCUUUGCUCCACCUGGACUGUGGCCACAAUGGAAAAUUUUCUGGUUAAAGUCAAUUAUUUUGCUGCCGAAAGGUAAGGCUUCUACAGCGGCCUGUGUGUGGCUGAGGCUAUGCUACGAACAGUUCUUAGCUACAAAGAGAGGUAAAGUUCUCACUCUGUACAGCCAUGUCCACACUCUUACUAGCUGCAGCAUAGUCCAACUUAAUCACAUGGAGCAGUGCAAACAGUGUGAAGGAAUACCAUCUUCCAGAUUUCAGAGGUAAAACCAAUGCUUAGAUUAUUGGAUUGACCAAGCAUGAUAAUUAGACACACGGAGUUUUCUAAUUUUCCACUUAUUUACCACUGCAAUUUGGAAAAACAGUUGGGAAAUGUGAAACAUUCCAUGGGAUGGGAUGUUUGUAGUAUCUUUCCUCAGAAGAACGUGUGUAACAUGGUGUGUUUUAAUAAAUACUGCAGUCAGGGAACUGACUCUUGGCCAAAGCAGGAGCCUGGGAAGACAGAAAUAUUUGCAGCUGGUCAGUGCUUUCCACCUCUCCCUUCCCACUGAGGCCAGCGACCAAAAAGCCAUC
rnacentral:lncRNA from 7 species